UGCUGCUGCCAUCGCUUAUGGUCUAGACAAGAAGGGUGGUGAAAAGAACAUCCUUGUGUUUGACCUUGGUGGUGGGACAUUUGAUGUCAGUAUCUUGACAAUUGAUAAUGGUGUUUUUGAGGUUGUUGCCACUAAUGGAGACACUCAUCUUGGAGGUGAGGAUUUUGAUCAUAGAAUUAUGGACUAUUUCAUCAAAUUGAU